AGGGACCCUACCUGCUACUACUCCUCAAAGUCUGAAACUGAACCAUCCGAUCGGCCACACAAACCGAAGACCGAACCUUUUCCGUCUCCUUCUUCUGUCGGCCUUAUAUCUGGGUUCGAUUCCAAAAUAACCCUAUAUCAGCUUUGUCAGAAAGCAUGUUGUUCUACAUCAAGGGCUUGCUCUAUUUGGUGUGACAUAAAAGAUUGGCUAGGCUUUCCUUGGUAAUUCAUCAAGUAUAUUGUUUAAUCGUCAAUUAUCGUUUAAAGAAAGUGAGCUGCAUGCCAUCUGCUUGUACAUUUUCGAGUUAAUAGUCUUCAUGGCCUUAAGACCUUCAUGUAAAGUUGGGUUCAAUCUCAAUGUAUCCAACACGGAUGAUAUUCAGUUAAAUACCAAUUGGGAAGAUGUGAUUUGCCCUAUAUGCUUGGAUUUUCCGCAUAAUGGUGUACUCCUUCAAUGCUCAUCUUAUGAGAAAGGAUGCCGUCCUUUUGUGUGUGACACAGACCACUUGCACUCGAAUUGCUUGGACCGUUUCAAAAGUGCUUAUGGCAUGUCAACCCCUUUAACAUCUGAUAUAACUCCCACAGAAAACAGGGAUCCCGUGGCAUCUGAAGGCAACUGUAAACCAUGUUGUCCCUUGUGUAGAGGAGAGGUUACUGGGUGGUUUGUUGUUGACAAGGCCCGUCUAUAUCUGGAUGAGAAGAAGCGUUGUUGUGAGGAGCAUCAAUGUACAUUUAGGGGAACUUACUUAGAACUGCAAAAGCAUGCUCAACUGGAGCACCCUCAUGCUCGUCCAUCAAAGAUUGAUCCUGCACGGCAGCUUGAUUGGGAGAAUUUUCAACAGUCCUCUGAGAUCAUAGAUGUUUUGAGCACUAUUCAUUCAGAAGUCCCUCGUGGGGUGGUUUUGGGAGAUUAUGUAAUUGAAUAUGGGGACGAUGAAACUGGAGACGAGUUUGAGGACUUCCCUGGGGAUGAGGGGAACUGGUGGACCUCUUGUAUUUUGUAUCAGGUGUUUGAUAACUUCAGGAAUUCUAGAAACCGAAGAAGGUCAAGAGUUAGUGAUACAAGAAGAGGAAAUCGCCGAACGAGUUAUGACAAUUCUGUUUCUGAUGAGGGUUCUGUGGCAUCUAUAGAAUUUCCUGAGUAUAGGAUAGAUGAGACUGACGAUGAGUUUGUGAGUACAAAUGUCCCAACGGGUAACUCCAAUCAUCGCAGUUCUCGAAGACGCCGUUUUUCAAUGCACAGGACUAAAAUUCUGAAAAAGGUUUUCUUUUUGUAGUAAUAACCUUGAAUAGUGAGGUAGGGGUAUGUUUGCCAUGAUAAAUAGCAUGCAGAUUAGUAUGUAACAUAGCGUUUCCUGGUUUCAUUAGUUUAUGAAAAAUUUACAAGUAUUGCUGUUGUAUUCACAGUUCUCGAAGACGCCGUUUUUCAAUGCACAGGACUAAAAUUCUGAAAAAGGUUUUCUUUUUGUAGUAGUAACCUUGAAUAGUGAGUUCUCGAAGACGCCGUUCCCGCUUCUACGACAAUUAGAAGUGAAGUGAAGUGGAGAACAGAGAGAUCCUCUGCAAAGUAGAAAAGAUUGCAUGCUUGCUACAGAUCAUCUCAUUGUUAAAACAUGUAAAAGCUACAUCUGGAUCUUAUCUUACUACAUUUGUGAUAAGAUAUGCUGAUUAGACAAGAAUGAACCUGACAAUCCCAUCUGGUUAUGUUAUGACCAUUGUAACAUUCAUCAUUUCUCUUUGGCUUUAAUUGUUUUUUUUCACCCUUAUAGAAUUCUGAAGGAUGCAGAAAGUAUUUACACAAUGGAAAGUUGGCUGACAAACUACCAUUUUAUUUUAUUAC